rnacentral:lncRNA from 1 species
CACCCAGGCAGCAAUUUGAAAUCAUAUUCACAAGAAGGACCAACAGAUGAAAAGCUGCUGUAGAUAACAGGGCCCAUAGAUGAAGUAGACCAAAGGUCGCAUGUGCACAGUGCUGGUUGUAAGUUCAGUCUUCUCUCUCUUUCAUACUUAACAGUUUUAAAGAACAUGAGGGAACUGCAAGAAAGAUCUGGCUCCCAUCUGAGCGGGAGAGCAAGUCAUCCCCUGAGACUUCUAGUGACAAAGCUCCAUUCCCAUAUUUUCAGAAGAAGGCACUAAAUAAACUUUCUGAUUCAGUAGCCAGAACACCUGGUGCCAUCUGGAGUCUACUCAAAUCAUGGAAAAACAGAAUGGUACUGUAUACCCAAUGGGAACAACAGAUUACCAGGCUCCCUGUGUCUGAAGAAUCAUCUUCUGCCUGAAAGUAUCUUCCCACCUCCUCAAUUUCUCCUCAGGUUCUUUCCUCCUGCUGGAAG